GGUUUUGUAGUUGAAUUACAACAAUGGUUUUUCAUGCCUUAGGCUAUGGUUAGAAUCCAUACUAAAACUA
rfam:Sarcophilus harrisii ctg7180002208735, whole genome shotgun sequence.